rnacentral:lncRNA from 1 species
GUACACAUGCUGCUCUUCCUUCUCCUGUCUGCUCCAUGUACACAUGCUGCUCUUCCUUCUCCCCUCUGCUCCAUGUACACAUGCUGCUCUUCCUUCUCCUGUCUGCUCCAUGUACACAUGCUGCUCUUCCUUUAGAAAAGUAUGCAUCACAACUUUGUUCAUUCGCACAAUUUGUCUAGUUCACUUUCGCUUGUAAAUGUCCACACUCACCAAAAAUGACAUUCGGUAGAUACUAGCUAUGCUUGUAUAACUUUAUGAGCUGGAUUUGUCUGGAUUUGCAAUUAGUUUGUUGGUUUUCGCUCAUUAGCCUUUAGCUAACAGCGUUGAUGUGAUUUUAAUAUUACUUGUGCUAAUUUUGUUAGAAUUCUAGUAAUAGAUGCACAAUGGGCUUUUUGUGUGUUUUUAGCGCCCCUUUGUGUGCUAUGCCGGUAAUACCGUAAAUCCCGGGAUGGCAGAGGAACGGUAUGCCGGUAUGAAAUUCUGGAACUGACCAAGCCUAGUCACUGGUGACACACACACACACACACACACACACACACACACACACACACACACACACACACACACACACACACACACACCUUUCCAAUAUAGCCACAACCCCACACAUACAAACACCCCUACACAACCUUCACACAGGCCAAAUAAAGAGAGCUUCCUCUCCGGAAGCCACAGCUCCCUAGGGAUUCAAGGAGAGGAUGGAAGUGUGACGUGGCCAUUACAUAAACCUCUCAACAACUAUCUGCCUGGUUUAGAGGUUUAAAUAGACCUCUUAAUUACACUCAUCUCUCUCUCCUUUCCAUUUCCCCCAUUCACAUCUCUUUCUUUUCCGCUUUCUCCCUCCCUCUCUCUCUAGUUAGCAGUAAUUAAGCCCAGCUGCCAGUGUGAUCUAAUGGAUCUCUGUCAGUAACUCUACACCCUACGCUGCUUUCACACCUAUCCAAACACACACACACACACUCACAAGCACACACACAAACACAGAGGAUUACUGCGUCAUUCACACAUAUGUGAAUGUCAUUGGGGAUUACUGCGUCAUACACACACCUGUGUCAUGGCACAAACACACACAGUAGGAGUCAUUGAUGGAAAAUGGAGCAUGGCAGAGAAGAAUGUGUGUGGCGGGCUGCCACUUGACACCACGCAUGACACACACAAGUAAUAGUCUAACCUAAUAGCAGUUAUGCUGUCAAUUACCAUGCACCAUGAUGGAAAUGGUCAGAAAUUUGGCAAAAAUUACAAUCUAACUUCUCAAAAAGGUGAACACACUGUCUGGCCAGGCAAACUUCAAUAAGGGAGAGAGGUUUAAUGGAUCUGGAAACUCAUAACAUGGGCUUAAGGCUAUUACAGAGGUAUGAACUAAGAUGGCACCU